rnacentral:lncRNA from 1 species
UUGGUGACUGGAGCAGUCAAAUUUCUCUCGGCGCCGGGUGAGCAGAGAGUCGGGCGGGGGACUGGCGGGGGUGGGGGGGACCAAACUGACGUGUGAGGCGUGGGAGACAGGCGGGGCUCUCGUCUUGUCCCUUCCCUCUCGCUUUGCCAACCUUGAGGCUGCGCAUGUUGGAAACCGGGGACUCAGGGGUCUCGACAUUUACGAAGCGGAUUGGCUCCUGGACUCUGGGGCCUCGAACCCUCUGACGGGCAAGAGCCCCCGCAGCCGAGUGGCCAGCAGUCGGCUGAGUUGGCCGGAGCUGGCGUCUGGACGGGCCGUCCGAGCUCGGCUGGUCCAAGCUUGCAGUUGGCCCCGGCUAUCCGAAUGGCAUGUCCCAAAGAGGGAUGCCCCUUCACCUUGGUCCCAGAAUGAUGGAACAAAGUUGAAGAUGACUGCGAUAGGCCAAUAACCUGAAGAGAAAGAAACCUUCCUAUUUUAUUUAUUCGGCCCAGAAAUCAGUUGCAUUUCUAUACACGAAUAACGAGACUGAAGAAAGCGAAAUUAGGGAAUCCAUCCCAUUUACAAUAGCACCAAAAACCAUACGUUACCUUGGAAUUAACUUAACCAGAGACGUAAAGGACCUAUAUCCUAGAAACUAUAGAUCACUUUUGAAAGAUAUUGAGGAAGACAUAAAAAGAUGGAAAAAUAUUCCAUGCUCAUGGAUUGGAAGAAUUAACAUAGUUAAAAUGUCCAUACUACCCAGAGCAAUCUACACUUUCAAUGCUAUCCCGAUCAAAAUACCGAGGACAUUUUUCAAAGAACUGGAACAAAUAGUCCUUAAAUUUGUAUGGAACCAGAAAAGGCCCCGAAUCUC